GUCCACUUAAGAUUACAGCUUAUGUACUUUUGGUCUUCUAUGUUCUAGUUUAGUAACUGUGUUUUGAUAUCUUUAUUAGCCAAAUAUUGAGUUGGUUUACAGCAGGAUUAAAUAGGAUAUUAUUCAGGAUGGCCGUAUGUUGUUGCUGUAACGAACGUUGUAUCAAACAAUAUACACCUCAAUUUUACUGUGUCAUUCUGUUGUUUGGUACAGUGGGCCUUAUACUCUGGAUAAGUCUGCAUACAAUAACAAAGGACAAGAAUUCGGUGAUAUUAGCAUCGGGUGCUUAUACAGUUGAGAACAUCUUGAUAAUGUUCAUCUUCGUUUUGGUUCUAGUACUGGUCAUUUUAAUCAGCUUUUGUUGCUGUUGUUAUUGUUUUUAUUGUCGGUCAAAUACAAACAGAGGGUGCUACGACCAUCGCUGUGAUUCUUGUGAUAUAGCAUGUAGUUUAAUUUACAUGGAAACGUGCACAAGCAAAUGUAAAACAAUAUGGACGUAUACGGUAAGUGUUCGCGAUUAUCAUGUUAGCUAUAGCUUUAAGUAUGCAUCGAAACCGAUUGUUUAAACGUAAUAUUCUGAUAUUAAUCAUGAAUUUGUAAAUGUGAGCUAUUGUGAUCCAAAUAUGUCUAGUGUCGGUUGUCAUGCAUAGUGCGGUUCAAAUAUGAUCUCGUUGAAGCCUAAUCAAGGAUCCAAAAUAAGCCACGCCUCAGAAGUCGCAUGACAUAUGUAGAAUUAUAUAGCAAUACAUGUUCAAUACAUUUUUCCAUACAGCUACAAAAUCCAGAAAGGUAAUAUUUACAAUGCAAUAAGGCAUCAUGAUCAUAAAAACAUGUACUAUCUGAAAUACAAGGUCAUAAUCACAUAGUGUAAUUUGCUAUUCAUUUUCAGUUAUGUAACUAAGAACUUGUACAGGUAUGGACAUUUUUUGUUUGUAUGUGUCUUUUUUCCCUCAAUCUGUAGGUAGUAAUAUUAAGAGGUAAAAUAUAUAUUUGCACUGACUUUGUGUUUUUCAAACUCUACCCAGAUAUUGUGUUAUGCUUCUUGUAUGCUGAGUGACACACCUAUUUAUUUAAAGCCUAUUGAUAACAUACACAAGUAGUAUGCAUAAGCUCAUUAGCUUGUUGGUGUUUUCAUUUUGUUUGCAUUUUUUGCUGUAUAGUUAUAUACAUGAGCAUUAGGCAUAAGCACAUAGGCUUGUGUUUUUUUCUUUGUUCACAUGUUGUGUUUCAUAGUUACUCUGUUUGUAUGCCUGUUUGAUUGUUUGAACAAAGAUAUAAUGUAUUGUGUACAUUGUUGUAUGUGUAUAUGUAUUUCCAGAAAAAUCAAUGUGCUAUUUGUUAUCAUAUUUAAAGGCAUGGGAUCUGAAUUUAGUAUUAUCAAGCUUAACUUUACAAUAUGACUAGUGAUCUGAAAAUUGUCUCUUUAAAUCAUAACUUUAAGGUACCUUGAUAUUAAGUGUAAUACUAAUAAUACAUAACAAUAUACUAUCUGAGAUACAAUGCCAUAGACACAUAGUGUAGUUAGUUAGUUCUUUUUUAAUGAGGUAACUAAGAACUUUUACAGAUAUGGAAAAUUAUUGUUUGUGUGUUUGAUUUUUUUCCCUCAAUCUCUGGGUUGUAAAACUGAGAGGUUAAAUAUAACUUACACCGGCUUUGUGUUCUCAAACUCUACCCAGAAAUUGUGCUAUGCUCUUUGCAUACUAAGUGACAUACUUAUUUACAACUUAUUGAUUACAUACAGGAGUAUCAUUCAUAAGCUUAUUGGCUUGUGCUUU